rnacentral:rRNA from 1 species
AUUGAACGCUGGCGGCAUGCCUUACACAUGCAAGUCGAACGGCAGCACGGGGGCAACCCUGGUGGCGAGUGGCGAACGGGUGAGUAAUACAUCGGAACGUACCCAGUAGUGGGGGAUAGCCCGGCGAAAGCCGGAUUAAUACCGCAUACGACCUACGGGUGAAAGCGGGGGAUCGCAAGACCUCGUGCUACCGGAGCGGCCGAUGUCAGAUUAGGUUGUUGGUGGGGUAAAAGCCUACCAAGCCGACGAUCUGUAGCUGGUCUGAGAGGACGACCAGCCACACUGGGACUGAGACACGGCCCAGACUCCUACGGGAGGCAGCAGUGGGGAAUUUUGGACAAUGGGCGCAAGCCUGAUCCAGCCAUGCCCGCGUGC